CCGAGCACAAUCCCAUAAUGAGACAUGGGAAAACUAAAGGACUCUUGCUUUUAACCUUGCUAGACUUAAGCGUCCUAUCCGAGUGACCACUUAGAACAACUUCUUUCAUCCACCUAGAAAUUAUUCCUGCCACAUCUAUUUCCAUAUCCUCAUUAAUGUAAUGGAUGAGGCCUAGGAUGUUCAUGGUAGCAUCUGAAGGGUGGGAAUUAGGUUGGAUGUUGUACAAGACCAGAUUAAACAGCAGCACAGUGAAGGUUUUCAUGUCCUCUCUCAUUGCCCUCAAAGGUGUUUGAGUCGCAUUGAAGACAAAAUCGGUGUUUGGUCGAAGCAGCUUACUCCUCAUGGAUGGAACAUCCCAAGUUCCCCGAUUCCGU
rnacentral:lncRNA from 1 species